rnacentral:rRNA from 1 species
ACGCGUCUCCGUUGAUGAUUUCAGGUGCUUGCACCUGAAAGAUUUAACAUUGAGACGAGUGGCGAACUGGUGAGUAACACGUGGGCAACCUGCCCUUGAAGUAGGGGAUAACACUUGGAAACAGGUGCUAAUACCGUAUAACAACCAAAACCACCUGGUUUUGGUUUAAAAGACGGCUUCGGCUGUCACUUUAGGAUGGACCCGCGGCGUAUUAGCUUGUUGGUAAGGUAACGGCUUACCAAGGCGAUGAUACGUAGCCGACCUGAGAGGGUAAUCGGCCACAUUGGGACUGAGACACGGCCCAAACUCCUACGGGAGGCAGCAGUAGGGAAUCUUCCACAAUGGACGAAAGUCUGAUGGAGCAACGCCGCGUGAGUGAUGAAGGGUUUCGGCUCGUAAAACUCUGUUGUUGGAGAAGAACAGGUGUCAGAGUAACUGUUGACAUCUUGACGGUAUCCAACCAGAAAGCCACGGCUAACUACGUGCCAGCAGCCGCGGUAAUACGUAGGUGGCAAGCGUUGUCCGGAUUUAUUGGGCGUAAAGCGAGCGCAGGCGGUUUUUUAGGUCUGAUGUGAAAGCCUUCGGCUUAACCGGAGAAGUGCAUCGGAAACCGGGAGACUUGAGUGCAGAAGAGGACAGUGGAACUCCAUGUGUAGCGGUGAAAUGCGUAGAUAUAUGGAAGAACACCAGUGGCGAAGGCGGCUGUCUGGUCUGUAACUGACGCUGAGGCUCGAAAGCAUGGGUAGCGAACAGGAUUAGAUACCCUGGUAGUCCAUGCCGUAAACGAUGAGUGCUAAGUGUUGGAGGGUUUCCGCCCUUCAGUGCUGCAGCUAACGCAUUAAGCACUCCGCCUGGGGAGUACGACCGC